UUUAACGACUCUCGGCAACGGAUAUCUCGGCUCUUGCAUCGAUGAAGAACGUAGCGAAAUGCGAUACUUGGUGUGAAUUGCAGAAUCCCGUGAACCAUCGAGUCUUUGAACGCAAGUUGCGCCCGAGGUCACUAGAUCGAGGGCACGUCUGCCUGGGCGUCACA
rnacentral:rRNA from 1 species